rnacentral:rRNA from 1 species
UACGUAGGGUGCGAGCGUUGUCCGGAAUUACUGGGCGUAAAGAGCUCGUAGGUGGUUUGUCGCGUUGUUCGUGAAAACUCACAACUCAAUUGUGGGCGUGCGGGCGAUACGGGCAGACUGGAGUACUGCAGGGGAGACUGGAAUUCCUGGUGUAGCGGUGGAAUGCGCAGAUAUCAGGAGGAACACCGGUGGCGAAGGCGGGUCUCUGGGCAAGUUCCGUGACGCUGGAGGCGCGAAAGCGUGGGAGCAAACGGGAUUAGAGUACCCGGAG